CAACUUGAUCUCUUCUGAAAUGUCAUCCUCUUCUUUCAAGACUAUUGCUUCCAUUGAUUCACAGUCAGUGACUUCUAUAUGUUCAAGAUUCUCUAACUUGUUCACUGAUGAUAAUGUGAAUAAAUAUGUCAAUUCAUUACAGUUGUCUAUGUACAUUUCUUUUACAUACGUGAAAGUCACAGAAGGAGUAGAAUGCACUAAUGUUUUCAAAUCAGGACAAUUGAUAACAUACAAUUGUUGGAGCUUUUCACUAUCACAAAUCACGUUUAACCAUGGGAUUUGAGUUUGGAAUACUUCGAGGCAACUGCACUCGCUUAUAGUCAUUUUUGUUAAAUUGGGCAUCUUCUGGAGUAUUUGAAUGGGCAAAUCAGGCGAAAACUAUGAUUCGUGGGCUGCAAAAUUGAGAACUUAUUUGACAGCUCAAACAAUGUGGGAAGUAGUGGAAAAUCGAAGUACUUCAACCCCUUUACUAGAGAAUCCAACCGUGGCUCAAAUAAUAUAUUGAAAAAGUGGCACAGGAAGACAGAACACUUGCCAUUGUACAUGUAGCAAUACACGAUGACAUUUUUAUCAAGAUAUUGAAUUUUUAAACAGAAAAGAAGGCCUGGGACAAGCUCAAGGAGGAGUUCAUGGCAAUGAAAGUACAAGGAUGAUAAAGGUGCUGAAUUUGAGAAGAUAAUUUGAAGUAAUCAAAGUGAAGGAGUUUGUCUAAAAAAGAAAAGGAUCUUUUGACAGACUUUAUAAAGUGGUUAUUCAAAUCAAAUUGCUAGGUCAAGAGCUUAAAUAUCAAAGAUUUGUGGAGAAAGUUUUAGUGUGUCUUUGAUAAAGGUUUGAGUCAAAAAUCCCCUUUCUAAAAGAAAAUAAAGAUUUUUCUCACAUUUCACUUGGAUAACUUGUUAAUGCUUUGCAAGUCACUGAGCAAAGAAGAUCAUUAAGAAUGGAAGAAAAUGUUGAAGGUACUUUUGUGGCUAACAACAAAAGCAAACCUCAAGGUAGAAACAACUAUGAAAAAAUAAGCCUUUUGGUGGGAAGAAAGGCAUUAGAAAAAAAAGAAUACAAAAACAAAAGAGGAGGUUGGAAAGAGAAGUUUCCACCUUGCUCUCAUUGUAAAAAAACAAACCAUACAGAAAAUUAUUGUUGGUUUAGACUUGGAGUAAAAUGUAGGGUCUACAAUCAACUUGCUCAUAUAGAAAAAGUUUGUAGAAAUUAAUAAACAUUUGCUUUUGUAUCUGCAGAUUGUUUUUUUAA